GCCUGGUAUAGUGGUUUGAGCAUUAGACUACAACUCUGGAGACCAGAGUUCAAUUCGCUGCUUGGGCA